rnacentral:rRNA from 1 species
GAUGAACGCUGGCGGCGUGCCUAAUACAUGCAAGUCGAGCGAACAGACGAGGAGCUUGCUCCUCUGACGUUAGCGGCGGACGGGUGAGUAACACGUGGAUAACCUACCUAUAAGACUGGGAUAACUUCGGGAAACCGGAGCUAAUACCGGAUAAUAUAUUUAACCGCAUGGUUCAAUAGUGAAAGACGGUUUUGCUGUCACUUAUAGAUGGAUCCGCGCCACAUUAGCUAGUUGGUAAGGUAACGGCUUACCAAGGCAACGAUGCGUAGCCGACCUGAGAGGGUGAUCGACCACACUGGAUCUGAGACUCGUUCCAGACUCCUACGGGUGGCAGCAGUAGGGAUUCUUCCGCACUGGGCGAAAGCUUGACGGAGCAAAGCCGCGUGAGUGAUGAAGGUCUUCGGACCGUAAAACUCUGUUAUUAGGGAAGAACAAAUGUGUAAAUACCUAUGCACGUCUUGACGGUACCUAAUCAGAAAGCCACGGCUAACUACGUG